UGGGGAAUAUUGCACAAUGGGCGAAAGCCUGAUGCAGCAACGCCGCGUGAGUGAUGAAGGUCUUCGGAUUGUAAAGCUCUGUCUUUUGGGACGAUAAUGACGGUACCAAAGGAGGAAGCCACGGCUAACUAUGUGCCAGCAGCCGCGGUAAUACGUAGGUGGCGAGCGUUGUCCGGAUUUACUGGGCGUAAAGGGUGCGUAGGCGGAUGUUUAAGUGAGAUGUGAAAUACCCGGGCUUAACUUGGGUGCUGCAUUUCAAACUGGAUAUCUAGAGUGCAGGAGAGGAGAAUGGAAUUCCUAGUGUAGCGGUGAAAUGCGUAGAGAUUAGGAAGAACACCAGUGGCGAAGGCGAUUCUCUGGACUGUAACUGACGCUGAGGCACGAAAGCGUGGGUAGCAAACAGGAUUAGAUACCCUGGUAGUCCACGCCGUAAACGAUGAGUACUAGGUGUAGGAGGUAUCGACCCCUUCUGUGCCGCAGUAAACACAUUAAGUACUCCGCCUGGGAAGUACGAUCGCAAGAUUAAAAC
rnacentral:rRNA from 1 species